rnacentral:misc_RNA from 1 species
GUGAAUCAUCGAAUUUUUGAACGCAAAUUGCACUCUCUUCGGAGAGUAUGCCUGUUUGAGGGUCAGCCUAAAAAAAAAUCGACAUCGUUGCUGUUUCGCGGUGGCGUUCGUCGGAAAUUGGGUUAUCUUAAUUCUUUGGUUUAAGGGACUUAAAAUUUUCUUUACGAUUCCAUGAACGUUUCAAAGAUUUAUUUCUUAACAGGUUUAAGGUAUCGAUUUAAUUAGGCGUGGUCGUCAGAUCGGGUAAGGCCAAUAAUUUUUGGUUAACUAACCUGGGG